rnacentral:tRNA from 1 species
GGUUGUGGCUUAGUGGUAGAGCACUUGCCUUGCACGCAUAAACUCCUGGGUUCAAUCCUCAGCACCA